AAAAACCAAACAAAAACAAACAAACAAACAAAAAACCAAAGGAGCAAAAUAGGAAACAAAUCCAGAAGAUGGACAAAUUCUACAUCCAAUUGCUGGUCCGUUGAGUCAAUUGGAUUUAUAUAUCAGAUUUUGACCUGAAAUGUGGUGGCUCAAGUGGUUAAGAUGCUGACUCCAUUGAUUGCAAGAUCGGCUGACUACGUAUUCCUUUAAAACUUUGGAUAAUUCAUCUGUGCCCCAGAGAAACCAAAAUGCUCAAAGUGUAUAUGUAUAUUUUAAAGUCAAGUUCUGGUUUUGCUUUUAAAGCAUUUGAAAUAUACAAGGAAGCUUUCAUACUAUUCAGAAAUGCUAUUUGGAAAGGGAAGAGGAAUAGCAAUAGCCAGAGAAAGAUGUUCUUCUAGAAAUCUUUCAGAUGCAGGUUUCUCAGGUGAGUAUUCAAGCCCCAGAUGUGUCAGUUUUCAUUCUGCCAAAAAGCUGCCAAAAAGCUUUAGUGCAUGACUGGAAGAAAAUAUGCAAUUAGGU